CAAUAGCGUAUAUUAAAGUUGUUGCGGUUAAAAAGCUCGUAGUUGGAUUUCUGCUGAGGACGAUCGGUCCGCCCUCUGGGUGAGUAUCUGGCUCGGCCUUGGCAUCUUCUUGGAGAACGUUACUGCACUUGACUGUGUGGUGCGGUAUCCAGGACUUUUACUUUGAGGAAAUUAGAGUGUUUCAAGCAGGCGCACGCCUUGAAUACAUUAGCAUGGAAUAAUAAGAUAGGACCUUGGUUCUAUUUUGUUGGUUUCUAGAGCUGAGGUAAUGAUUAAUAGGGAUAGUUGGGGGCAUUCGUAUUUAACUGUCAGAGGUGAAAUUCUUGGAUUUAUUAAAGACGGACUACUGCGAAAGCAUUUGCCAAGGAUGUUUUCAUUGA
rnacentral:rRNA from 1 species